GAGGUUGAGGCCGGAGGAUCGGGAGUUCAAAGCCAGCCUCAGCAACCGCAAGGUGCUAAGCAACUCGGUGAGACCCUGUCUCUAAAUAAAAUACAAAAUAGAGCUGGAGAUGUGGCUCAGUGGUCGAGUGCCCCUGAGUUCAAUCUCCAGUACCUUCCCCCUCUUCCCCCCCGAAAAAAACCCCACCAACAACAAAAAACAAAGAAACAAACAAAAACUGGAAAGAGUACCAGGCUCUCUAUGAAAUGAGAAAUCAGCCAAAGAGACUGAGAAGGGGGUUGGAAAGCCAGGAAAGUGUGGGGUUCUGGAAACAACUUUAUUAGAACUUAUUCCUUCACAUAAACUACUUGUCUAGUUGAAACCAGGGGCUCUUAACUACUGAGCCACAUCCUGAGCCCUUUUUAUUUUUUAUUCUGAGAUAGGGUUUUACUAAGUUGUUUAGGGUUUCACUAAGUUAGUUGUUGAGGCUGGCCUUGAAUUUAUGAUCUUCCUGUCUCAGCCUCCCAAAUCCCUGGAAUUAUAGGCGCCCCACUGGGAGACAAGAUUUUUCCCAUAGUGCCCCGGAAAGGAACAAAAGAAGAUGAUGUUUUGGGUCUUGGUAGCAUGGUGAUUAGUUGGGUGUAAUAAACACAUUUGUGUUUUUCUGGCUUUCUUUUUCACCCUCUACCAUACUAUUGCAACUUCUAGAUCCUUCUAUGUGUACUUCUUCAUUGCCUGCUCCCCUCACACCCUUCAUCCGCCGAAUCCCCAUGGCAGGUCACCUUCCAGAGUUCUCAGCCCAUGACAUUAACCUACCACUCCUGUCUGGCUGAAAUAACCUACAGGCAACAGUUCGUACCCCUAUGGGACUAUUUGGCCAAAGGAGUCAGUGGGGUUUUUUUAUCUUUUUUUUUGCUCUGGGGAUUGAAUCCAGGGGCACUCAUCACUGAGCCACAUUCCCCAGCCCUUCUUGUAUUUUAUUUUAGAGACAGGGUCUCACUAUGUUGCUUAGGGCCUUGUUAAAUUGCUGAGACUGGCUUUGAAUUCAAGAUCCUCCUGCCUCAGCUUCCUAAGCCUCUGGGAUUACAGGCGUGCACCAUGACAGUGGUGCCUAUAGAGUCAGUGUUUUUAAUGGGUGCACUUGUGACCACAGCAUCCUUCCAGUUGGGGGUGCCCUCCUGCCCAGUGAUGAGUCAGAUAUUAUAUGGCUUCCUGGUAAGGGAGAUAGCCUUUGCCCACAGAUUGCUGGGUUCUUUUAUCUGUCCUUGCCCCACCCCUCUACUCCACCAGGAAAAAAUUUCCUUUUGACGUUAGUGGGAAGGAUGGUCAUAAAGCAAGACUAUGAAGGAGUGCGGGACCCAGUGAGUAGAUGCCUUUCUUGGGGUUCCUGAGUAUGUGCAGAUAGUGUACGCAGCAGCUGCUUAAUUGUCCUCGUAGCUCUUGACUGCACUUGUCCUCCCCAGCUGCAUGAAUGGAUAGCAGGAAACAUCCACAGGGACCAGCCUGGGUUGGGCUUCCCUGCUUCCUCCUCCAUGUGCCCUGCAGAGCUACCAUUUGGUCCUCAUCCUUAGAGUCUGGGGUGAGUUUUAGUAAAGGAUGUUGUUCUACAUAGUGGGGUGGGGGAGGUCCUCCUUCACUCUCUGAAGUUGUUCCCCUUUCACUAGGGUUAAAAGGCCCCUUCAGCUGGGCAAGGUGGUGCACACCAGUAAUCCCAGUGGCUUGGGAGGCUGAGAAAGGAGAAUUGCGAGUUCAAAGCCAGCCUCAGCAACUUAGUGAGGCACUAAGCAACUCAGUGAGACCCUGUCUCUGAAUAAAAUACAAAAUAGGGUUGGGGAUGUGGCUCAGUGGUUGAGUGGCCCUGAGUUCAAUUCCCAGAACCUCCCCCUACACACACACACACACACACACACACAAUAAAAGGACUCUUCUACCUCUACCCUAGGAAUAUCCCCUGGUGACAGUGUGGUCAACAUCUUUGACUAAGGAGCUGAGUUACUAAACCUUUUUCAAAGAAAACAAAACCAGAUUUUUUUUUUAAGCGGCUGGUUCCUCUUAAACUACCAUGAAACCCCAGUGUGAGGCUGCACUCAAUAGCUCAACCCAACAGCUCCCUGAGUGUGUUUCUUGGAAGAGCCUAGGAGACUUCUGGAUUGAGACUCCAUAGGUUCAGCAUCAGUUUGGUCUUUUGAAAAACCAAGCACAUUUGUAAGCUUUGUAGGAGGGUCCAGGUCUAAGAUGCCUCAUUUUCCCUCUGCCCCAACGGCACGGAACACAAUGCUCUCCCUGUUUGGUUUCCUCAGGCUGGUCCUGGGGAGAUGACUGCCGUUGGGGUUUGUCUAUCCAGUCCCAUUGCCACUCGGGCAUCCAAGUGGAAGACACCCACCAUGAAGGUCCAAAGGCCACCCCUCAUGGUCACUGCUCAGGGCUGAGGGGCGGUUUAUAAAUAUGCACAUAUUUUAAAAUGACCAACGGACUGAAAUGUAGCGCAAGAUAUCCUGUUUGACACGUGAAUAUUCUAAAUUUUGAGACUGCCACUAACCUUUGCUCACCUCUGGGAUCUAAAAGGAGAAUCGCUGGGGACAGACCACAAAGGCUGCCUUAGGAAGGAAAUGUGUGCUCUUAUGAGUUCUUAUUAAGGGAAUUUUAAGAGCACAAAAAUUUUAUUGAACCCCAUUCAGUGGCAAACAGAAAAUGAUUUGUUAGAUUGUCAAUGGGAAAGACUUUAUUAUGACUGCCGAUGGAAUAAAAAACGGUGGCCGGUUUCUG
rnacentral:lncRNA from 1 species